AGUGAACGCUGGCGGUAGGCCUAACACAUGCAAGUCGAACGGCAGCACAGUAAGAGCUUGCUCUUACGGGUGGCGAGUGGCGGACGGGUGAGGAAUACAUCGGAAUCUACUUUUUCGUGGGGGAUAACGUAGGGAAACUUACGCUAAUACCGCAUACGACCUACGGGUGAAAGCAGGGGAUCUUCGGACCUUGCGCGAUUGAAUGAGCCGAUGUCGGAUUAGCUAGUUGGCGGGGUAGAGGCCCACCAAGGCGACGAUCCGUAGCUGGUCUGAGAGGAUGAUCAGCCACACUGGAACUGGAACACGGUCCAGACUCCUACGGGAGGCAGCAGUGGGGAAUAUUGGACAAUGGGCGCAAGCCUGAUCCAGCCAUACCGCGUGGGUGAAGAAGGCCUUCGGGUUGUAAAGCCCUUUUGUUGGGAAAGAAAAGCAGCAGGUUAAUACCCCGCUGUUCUGACGGUACCCAAAGAAUAAGCACCGGCUAACUUCGUG
rnacentral:rRNA from 1 species